AUUGAACGCUGGCGGCAGGCCUAACACAUGCAAGUCGAACGGUAACAGGAAGAAGCUUGCUGCUUUGCGGAGGAGAGGCGGGAGGGAGAGUAAUGAAUGGGAAACUGACUGAUGGAGGGGGAUAACUACUGGAAACGGUAGCUACAAACGCAUAAAGUCGCAAGACGAGAGAGGGGGGGAUCCGAGGCUAUCGGCAUAGGCUAUGCCCAGGUGGGAUUAGCUAGUAGGUGGGGUAACGGCAGACCUAGGCGACGAUCCGUAGCUGGUCUGAGAGGAUGACCAGCCACACUGGAACUGAGACACGGUCCAGACUCCUACGGGAGGCAGCAGUGGGGAAUAUUGCACAAUGGGCGCAAGCCUGAUGCAGCCAUGCCGCGUGUAUGAAGAAGGUCUUCGGGUUGUAAAGUACUUUCAGCGGGGAGGAAGGGAGUAAAGUUAAUACCUUUGCUCAUUGACGUUACCCGCAGAAGAAGCACCGGCUAACUCCGUG
rnacentral:rRNA from 1 species